ensembl:lncRNA
CUGUUUUGUUCACUGAUACAACUUCAGUGUCUAGGACAGUUUCUGACACCAAGUAGGUUCUUGGUAAGUAUUUGGUAGGAUAACGAAUACUGCACCUGCCAUUGGACUGCAGGAAUUAAUCUGUCCAAUUAUUUCUAUUAUUCACAGCUGCCACUUUCCCCAUUAAUGGCGAAAAGUAUUCCACAGCUCAUCUUUAAAUCUCUCAAAAAAAUCACAAGGCAGGUCUGAUUAUUCUAUUUUAUAGGUGAUCAAGCUAGGUAGUCUAAGACCCAGUUGGGUUAACAACUUUGCCUAAGGCCACAUAAUGGCUAAGUGAUAGAAUUGGGAUUUGAAUCCAAGGCUGGUUCCAACAUUGUCCUAUGAUGCAAUCGGGGGACUCCCAUGGUUUCUGAAGGAUAAGCAGAGACCAUUCUUUCCCUCCUAACCCUAUGAUGGUUAAGGGCAUAGGGAAAGAGGCUGGCAGUAAGGAAACAAUAGGGCUGAAGAAGCUGUAUUGUCAAUAACUGCCAGCAAAUCAUGACACUAAUUAAGAACGAUGCUACUUGUUCUGCCAAAAGCUCUGUCUUCUUGCAGAGAUCAAUAAAUCAAAAAUAAUUGUUUACUUUGUCUAGGCUCCUUCCCUUCUGCCUGUAUUUUUUCCUUCUUUCUUUGUGUAAUGUGAAAGUUGAUGAAGGAGCCUCAUUUUCACUAAUGAAAGAAACUUAAUUUUUUUGGCACUAUAUCCCUCAUUAAGAAGAGCUAAAUCAAUUUAGUGGUGGCUUCUGCUGCCUUCCAUUUGUCCAAAUGAAGACCCCAAAUCAGCAGAAGACCAGUCUUAGCAUGAAAUUUAGGCUUUCAUAAAAUUUAUGUUUAUUCUUUUAGGAAAGAUAUUUAAUGACAGACGGUUACAGUCUCUAAAAAUGACCACAGCUCUUUCCUCACUCUUUUUUUUGGUUUGUUUUAUCUCUCCACUCUCUCCCAAACAGCAUAUGCAAGGCCAACAGUGAGGUGGCCCCAAAGAACUUGUAAUCUAGAAAUCAGGUUAUCACCGAAUACUAGAUGGGCCAAAGGAGAAAUAAAUAAUAUUAACUUAAAGAACCGACAAGAAAAACAAAAAUCUCCCAGGCUAGCACAUGAGGGUAGAUCCAUCCAUCAGAAGGGUUCUUGCCUAGCCACACACACAAGAAGAAUAAAGAAAGAAGACACUGAGCCUCCAGGGAUGUCUAGGACAUGUCCAGGACCAUCCUAUUAAACAUAUUUUAUGGCACAGGUAAUAGUUUAAAUGAUAUGAUGAUAAAUGUUUAGCAACCAGAUUUUUUUUGGGGGGAGGGAAGCUCUCAUUUGUAACAGUUGCCAGUUAUCACAGUGUAAAUGUUUUCACCAUGGUCCACUGCAAUCAAGCAGCAUGAGUGUUGGAUUUGGGAAGACAGGUGUGUACUCCUCUGUGUGCAACUGUGCAGAAUCCACUGAACAUGGACUUGGGAAGAGAUAUGUACAACUGGUUCUUGCAGAACAAAACCAGUAGGCCCUGGCAUUCCCAGUGCUGUCUUUGGCCUCAGAAAUGCUUUGACUGUAACUUAGCAUCCUGGGUGGUUUGGGGCUUGGGAAGAAACUCGACCUACCUCAACACUGUCUGCUUAAUAGCUGACUCUUUCCUUCAAGGGUAAGAGAUACAUUGUCAUGAUGGUUGACACAUCAGUUUAAUGGAAGUCAGUCACAGGAGCCAGACCAUACUCAGAGGGAGAGCCAAGAAAGCUGGGUGGCACAGCUGGAGUAUGGUGAACAGAGCACAGCAGGACUUCCCACUGGGACCAGUGCAGCCGCCCAGUGGCCUCCCUUCAUCUCCCGUGAAAUCCUUAUCAACCUCUGUUGUAACAGUUUGUUUCCUUCUUUAUUAGUCUCCUCAGAUAGGCUCUGAACUCCAGAAGGAUAGGUAUGGGGACAUAUUCACCCUUGGUACACUAUGGGGUUAGGCUGAAAACCUUCAUUACUGUCAGUGAGCAGCCUAAUUAGAAUAAAAGAAACAUCUACUGAGGACAUUUACCCACCUCUACACGCUCCCAAGGUCAUCCCCACCAACUUGACUACAUCUCCCAUAAAACACUUAAGAAGAAAAUUUAGGAUGGGCCUUAUGGGCCCUGUUACAGUAAAAAUUCCAGAACAGUGUGCUACUGUCCUUUAACUUGGUUCAAAGGGAUGAAGUCUCUGCAUCACCAUGGAAAUGCUCGUCCAAAUACCUCCUUGAUAUAAUGAGAUGGUAAUAAAAAUAAUAAACUUGGGGUAAACAAGAAGCAGAAAUAUGUUGAGCCAGAUGAUAGAUAACCAAAAGACUAUUUGGUAAUGCAUUGUCUGCAGACUUCAUGGUAGGGAGCAAGCAAGAUAAUUAUAUGCAAAUCUAAUAUCAAGACUGGAGUGUGACUUGUAUAGACUACUGGUUCCUACCUGCCAAGUUCCCACUGCAGCUGGCCCCAGAGGUGUACCUGCAGGUAGCCACAUUUGUGAAAAUCAAGUGGAUUCUGGAGGAAUUCAGAAGCUGCAAAGAUUUCUACUCUCUGGCUCAGGCAGUAAUUGCUUGGGGGAACCAAGCUGUAUAGCCACAGAAAGGGCUCUAUGGGCCAUUCUUGAUCUAGAAUUGAGAAAGUCCUAAUAAGGAGUUAUGGCUACACCAUUCAGCCUCGUCAUGCUAGACACCCCAUUUCUAAUACAAUUAUAACAAUUCUUGGACUCUCAUGUCACCCACUCCACACCAGACAAGAAAGGCCCAGAGUCAGACCUAACAGAACCAUCUCCAGCUGGCUAUGGGUUCAAAGACAGGCUGCAGAAAUGUCCCUAGACGGGGAUGCUGUGACUUUAUUUCAGGUAGAAUGGAAAAGCUACGUUAAUUUCAGCUCAUGUGGUAGGAAAUCUUUCUACCACCUGAAUUAAUUUCCUGCCUUAGCAUGGAAGAUCUACAGAUGUGCCCUUUCAGGGUUAUCAAUGUGAACUCUCAUUCUCAAUAUCCAGCGUUACAGCUACAGAGGAUACGACAGGUAUGAGGAAGCAGCAACUGCCAUUACAUUUUUAGAAAAGUCCCCAUGACUUGAGUAGUUCCUUAUAUGACUAAUAACAAGUAGUGGCAAUACAUCUCAAUUAAUUAAAAGACUAUUGGAGUUCCAUCUGUGGGUGCUCAGUCGUUAACGAACCCAAGUAGGAACCAUGAGGAUGCGGACUGGAUCCCUGGCCUCGCUCCGUGUGUUAAGGAUCUGGUAUUGCCAUGAGCUAUGGGGUAGGUCACAGACACAGCUUGCAUCCCGUGUUGCUGUGGCUUUGGUGUAGGCCAGCAUCUGUGGUUCUGAUUCGACCCCUCACCUGGGCACUUCCAUAUGCCAAGAGUGUGGCCCUAAAAAGCAAAACAAAACAAAACAAUAUUAAUGAUUGCUUUCCUGUUUAAAACUCUCCUUUGGUAUCAUAUCCAUCAUGUGAUCUCACUUAUAUCUGGACUCUAAUAUACGGCACAAAUGAACCUUUCCACAGAAAAGAAAAUCAUGGACUUGGAGAACAGACUUGUGGUUGCCGAAGGGGGGAGUUGUAUGGAGAUGCACAGGGAGCUUGGGGUUAACAGAUGCAGACUGUUGCCUUUGGAAUGGAGGAGCAAUGAGAUCCUGCUGUGCAGCACUGGGAGCUAUGUCUAGUCACUUAUGUUGGAGCAUGAUAAUAUGAGAAAAAAGAAUGUACACAUGUAUGUGGGACUAGGGCACCUUGCUGUACAGUAGAAAACUGACAGAUCACUGUAAACCAGCUAUAAUCGAAAAAAAUAAAAAUCAUUAUACAAAAAAAAAUGACAUAGAAAAAAAAAGCCUGGGAGAAAAUAUGCAAGAAUGACAAUACAGUUGCCUUUGGAGGGGGGGUGUCCACAGAAAGCUGGAUGGGUUUUGUUUUUUCCUCUACUUCUUUUUUCUUUGUCAUUCAAAAUUUUCACCAUUACUUUUUGGGGAAAAGGGAUUUGUAAAAAAGCGUGACUGCUGCCCUACCAUCUACAAGGUAAAGUUCCCUACUGUGAUAUACCUUCCUGAUCCAGUUACAUCAUUCACCACUCCCUCUCCUUCUUGAGAAGCCAGUAUUGCUGGAUAAUUUUAAAUGCCCACAGUUGUUCCAGACUUGCUCUGAGUCUUUGUACAUCUAAUCCUACAGCUUCGGAUGCCUUCCUUCCUUUCCAGUCCAAUUUUCAGAUGUUUCCUUCAAAACCUAGCUAAGAUGUCAUCUUUCUUGGCAAAUCUUCCCUGGCUCCAUGCUGUUUCUCUGCAGAAUUCACUCUUCUCCUCUCACUGUCAUACAUAGGUUUCUGCCAUCGCACCUGACACACCAAUUGGUAUUGAUCGGGCUGUACGUUAAGCCUGACUCUGAGAUCAUGGAGGGAAGAAUAGAGCCUAAUGUGUCACUGCAUCCCCAGUCCAGUGCCUGGCACGUGGACCUCAGUGUAAUAAGUCAGUGCUGGGGGGAGUUAGCGAAUAGACUGAGUGUAGCUUUGCUUCUCCCAGAAGGGAGCACUAUCUGCUUGUUAAAAAAAAAAAUGGGGUGGGGUUGACUUGACCAAGAGCAAAGAAACAAAGCAGAGAGACAGAGCUCAGCUGGGAAAUUAGGUGAGAGGAGGGUGGGACCAUGACAAAGGGACAGGGCUACAGAUGAUCAGGAACCUCAUCUGAGUCAGAGCCAAGGUGAGUGACUCUGAGAAGGAAGGGCUGUCUCUUCAGAGGUCCCAGGGUGACAGUUGAGUUGCCUUGACAUGAGAUGCCAAAGAAUAGAUUCCAACCUGACUUGUCUUGUUUGCUCAUGUGUAAUUUACAUUGUGAGGAACAAGAUGCCCAUCAGAGAUCAUCAAAUCCAGUGGUUUGUAAGCUGCGUUUCACAGAAUCUGGGAUUCUGCAGAACCAUUUCAAAGGCAGGGCAUGUGGAGAGGUCUGGUGCUGUGGACCAGGUUAUGAGUACUCCAACUUGGGCAGCUCCGCUGGUAACUGGCUUGCAUCUUGGUACACCACAGGAGAUUGUUCCACUGAAGAAAUAAAGGGAGGUGUGGAGGGAGGGAGAAAGAGGGAGGAGAAGGGAUGGAAGGGAAACAAAGGGGAUGGGAGAGGAAGUGAGACGGAGGGAGAAAAGAAGAAGGGAAAAGGAGGGAAGGAAGGGAAAGAUGGAGGAAGGGAGGGAGAGAGGGAGAGAGAGAGGGAGGGAGGGAGGAAGGCAGGAAGGAAGGCAGGCAGGCAGGCAGGAAGGCAGGUUAAGGAAAAGAUACAAAGGAAGGAAAAAUAACUAUCAAUAAUACCCAAACCCAAAUCAUGAGAAAACGAAGAGUCAGGAGAGAAAUGAUAUUUCUGAGAUCACAAAGGAACGGGAUGGUUACAUCUCAUUCCAGACUCAGGACUCCAUGUUUGAGGACAGGAGUUCUAUUA